AAGACUAUAGACCUGCGGAGUACCUGCGGAGGGAUCAUUACCGAGUUUACAACUCCCAAACCCAAUGUGAACGUUACCAAACUGUUGCCUCGGCGGGGUCACGCCCCGGGUGCGUCGCAGCCCCGGAACCAGGCGCCCGCCGGAGGAACCAACCAAACUCUUUCUGUAGUCCCCUCGCGGACGUUAUUUCUUACAGCUCUGAGCAAAAAUUCAAAAUGAAUCAAAACUUUUAACAACGGA
rnacentral:misc_RNA from 1 species